rnacentral:sRNA from 1 species
UUUUUUUGAAUUUUUUGUUGGUCAAAGCCGGAAUCAACUACUCAGUUUACCGAAAUUGUAUGUCUAUGGUGUUAACCACAUAACAUCGUAUAGUUCAUAUAUGUGGUCAUGCAAUACAUCUACUUUGUGUAGCUGAAGAUACAAUAAUAUAGUUAGGCAAAGUGCAUUUCACCAUUACUGUUCCGGUCAUAGGAAGUUUCCCUGAUAGAAA